CUUAUCGAGAGUGGUGGAGGGACCGGCCCGAUGAAGCCCGACAACCUGCGCAAGCAAGGUGCCAAUUCCGGCGAGCAAUCGACAGAUGAG
rnacentral:ncRNA from 1 species